UGGCCUACGGGGGGCAGCAGUGGGGAAUAUUGGGCAAUGGGCGCAAGCCUGACCCAGCGACGCCGCGUGAGGGAAGACGGUCUUCGGAUUGUAAACCUCUUUCAGCAGGGAAGACAAAAGGACGGUACCUGCAGAAGAAGCCACGGCUAACUACGUGCCAGCAGCCGCGGUAAUACGUAGGUGGCAAGCGUUAUCCGGAAUUACUGGGUGUAAAGGGCGUGUAGGCGGGAGCGCAAGUCAGAUGUGAAAACUCAGGGCUCAACCCUGAGCCUGCAUUUGAAACUGUGUUUCUUGAGUGCUGGAGA
rnacentral:rRNA from 1 species